CUUAUUUGCUAACUUUAACAGCUUCGAUGGAACUUUUCAUUUUGGAUCCAUAGCUGUUAGCAAUCCUUUUCCUUUAUUCUCAAUAUCUCCCUCAAGAUGAAGGGGAUCAAAGUAAGUCCUAUCUUGGAAAGAAUAUGAUGGUGCGAUGGACCAAAAAGGUACUUUGUGAAUAUGUCAGCGAUUUGAUAUUUUGAAGAAAAAUAAAGAAGAAAAAUGAGCCCUGAAAGAAAUUGUUGCCAAGUAAAAUGAUUGGCUAGUUCUACAUAUUUUGUUCAUUUGUGGAACAUAGGAUUUCAAUAAAUAUAGAUUUUUGCUUGACUUUCGGAAUAAACAUAUAUGAGUAACACCGAUGGAACUAAUAGAUCCAUAAACAAAUGAGUCAACGAAGUAAGUUCUGCCACUAAUCGCCACAUCAAUUGAUAUUCUACCUUAGUAGAUGAAAAGGAUAUAGAAGCUUAUUUCUUGGAUUUCUAGUAAAUGGGAGAACCUCCUAUGUAGAUGAAAAAUCCACUGAUCGAUCGACAAGAAUUUGGGUAAGAUGCCUAAUCCUUAUCACAAAAAAAUUGAAAGAUAAAAAUGGAGAUGCAGAUAAUAAAAUCGCUUGACAAGAAUGUCCUUUCAGGGAAUCCAAUACUCUUAGAGUUAUUGUAAAAUGUAUGUCGCAGGGAUUUUUCAUAUAUUGACUUAAGGUUAAUACUGCAUAGGAUAGAUCCAGCUUGGUAUGAGUUAAAUUCCUUAAUUUUCCAAUUAAAUGCCUAUAAAUAAAUGGAUUUGACAUAGGCAUUCGUGAUAAUUUUGAUAGCUUACAAGAAGGAUCCAUCAGAGAUGACAAAUAAUCCAAAUAAGAAAUGUCAAAAUCUUGAAGCAAAUCAAAGGUAUAUUUCCUUUGGCUAAUAAUAAUUCCAGGAUCUUCCCUUAAAAUUUCCAUUCCUAAAAAAUAAUGUAGAAGGCCCAGGUCUUUGAUUUUGAAUUCAGAAUAAAUAAACUGCUUUAGACAUUCGAUCUCAUUAGUAUCACUUCCCAUAAUAAUGAUAUCAUCAACGUACACAGCUAUAAUAUCUAUUAAAGAAUCAAUCUUUUUGAAAAAUAAAGAAUAGCCACUGAGAGAAAUACUGUAACCUUUGAAAUUAAGAGUACCUAUGAGCCUUGCAUACCAUUUCCUAGAAUCUUGUCUCAAACCAUAAACGGAUUUGUUAAGCUUUCAUUCCAAAUUAGAAUCAGUAGGAGACAAACUAGGUGUAAAUGUCAUAUACAGCUAUUUUUGCAAAUCUCUUUGCAAGAAAGAAUUGUUAAUAACAAAUUGAAAAAUAAGCCAAUAUUUUUAGCAUCUACAGACAAAAGAUAUCUAUUUGUAGUAAUUUUGACUAUAAGGGAGAAGGUUUCAUUGAAAUUAAUACCUUUCUUUUGGAUGUACCCCCUUAUCACUAACCUAUCAUUUAGUCUUUCAACUUAUCAAUUUGCAUGAUGCUUUACCUUAUAGAUUUAUUUACAAGGUAAAGCAUUUCUUCCAGGUGGACGGAGAACCACAUCCCAUUUUUAGUUAGAAUGUAAGGCUAUCAAUUCAUUAUUCAUAGCAUUGCACCAACCCAAAUAGGUAGAAUCCUGGUGAUAACUUAUGGGUUUAAUGAUUUUAGACACUAACACAAGAAUGAGCUAAUUUGAUAAAGAGAGUCCAAUAAAAAAAUAGGAAUUAUAUGUAACAGGAGAUGUAAAAAAAGACUCAUUGACUGGUCUAAGAAUAUGUUAUUAAAGAAAUAAUCUUCUAAGUAGACUAAAAGUACACCCUUGUUAGAUUUAUCUGAUCUCCUAGGGAGUGGUGUGCUACUUGUAACUUGAUUCUCAGGUGGAGAAGUUGUCGGUGAUUAUGGAGAAUCUGAAACUCGUAAUGUGUUUGAAACUGGGAAGGUGUUUUUUGUAGCAUUUGUGUUGGAAAAGAAGAUCAUCAUUGAUAGAAACAUCAUCAUGAUUUGGUAAAGAAAAAAUAGGUUGAGCUGAUAUAGAAUUCUUUGUAAAUGGGAAGGAUACUUAUGAGUUUCUAAUUAAUUAUCAGGAGGAGUUUACCUUGGUUCAGUUGAUUCCAAUGGUGUUGCUUACACUACCUACCAAUUAACUGAUGUGGAUAGGUAGUAGUGGAGAUCUCUAGUCAGUCGUAGGCCAUUAGACUCUCCUCUAUUUAUAUAGAUAUAGUUUUAUGAGACAUUAUUAUAAAGGUUUAUAACGUAUAGAUUGAAGGACCAGUUAAAGGGAGAUUUGAACAUUUUGAUUAGGUCUUCAUGAAUAUUAUAGAGUUUGAGGAACACUUUUACAUAUUGUACAGACAUGCCACUUCUAGUAUAUCCAUAAAAAUUAAAAGGAUCUAAAAUAUUUUAAGGGUUUGAAUGGUUAUUAUUAGUCAGAUACAACUCAACUAGUGGUCUCAGGUCAUUCUUUUCAAAGUAUUAUGGAUCAUGAUAACUUGAUUGAGACUAUUCACUAGAGUGGUACUCUUCACUAGAGAGGAUCACCAACAUAGCAAUUUUAGUAGCCCUUCAUCCCUAGGUAGGGAUUUCUUCGGUAGAGGCUUUCAUGGUUAUCAUGGUAAACUGAUCUAGGUAGCUUUGCAAAUUAUAGGUUGUAGGUUUACAGGUUUUAAGGCUUUUACUAGUCAGAGAUUGGGUCAUGCAGGCUGAGGGUCUCAUUUUGGUUCAUAUGUUCAUAGAGCGUGUUCUGGUUCUUUUGGGACCUCUCAGUGUAAUUUUGAUAGAAGGGAAUAUUUUGUGUGUUAUGAGUUUUGAUAUUUAACUAUCAAUUGUCCCUAGUGUGUUUUGGAUCCUCAAUAACAAAGUUCUCAAUAUCUUCUUUGUCCAACUCCAGUGUUAGCAGUUAGAGGUGGUACACAGUGCAAUAGAUGUGGUUCUAGAGGUACCUUAAGUGGGGCUCAUGAAGCUUGUGGUGGUAGACAUAGGGUUUCUUAGUCUAACAGUGGGUGUGGUUAAGGCUAUAUUUUUCUAAGGAGACCUAUGGCAGAGGACUCUAAUGUUGUGAUUAUAAGUAUUGUCCUAGCUUUCCACUAUCUUGCUUUUCUGUUAUUUGACCCUGAAUCCACAUUCUCUUAUGUAUGGUAUAUUUUUCUACUUGAAUUGAUAUUAUCUAUGAGUCACUUGCUAUGCCUAUUCGUGUUUCUACCCUUAUGGUUGAUUCUUUACUGGUGGAUCGAGUGUCUUGAUCAUGUGUGCAGACCAUUUUAGAAAGCGAUACUAGGGUGGAUUUGAUUAUUCUUGAUAUGGCUAAUUUUGAGGUACUAUUUGAUAUGGAUUGAUUGGCUCCUAAUCAUGUAAUUUUGGACUAUUUUUCCAAGAUCAUGACCUUAACUAUGGAGUGAAAAGACACUCCUAAUUUAUGUAUAAAUGGGAUUAUAUCUUUAUAAAUGCUCAUGGCAUGGUAGAAAAGUGGUGUCUUUCUUAUUUUGACCUAUGUUAGUGAUACUAGUGUUGAUUCACCACCUCUCCUAGAUUCAGUAAAAGAUGUUAGAUAUUUCAGAUAUGUAUUUUAUACGAAUAUACCUUGUAUGCAUCCAGAUAGGGAUAUUGAUUUUCAUUGAUUUUGAGCCAAGCACCAAGCCAUUUUUAUUUUUUCCUAUACAAUGAACCUGAUGGAAUUAAAGCAAUUGAAAGAGCAAUUAGAAGAUUUGUUGUAAAGGUUUUAUUAGACUGAGUAUGUCUCUUUAGGGUGAUCAUGUCUUAUUUGUGAAGAAGGAUGGAUACAUACACUUUUUCAUUGAUUAUUAGCAAUUAAACAAAGUGACUAUCAAGAAAAAGUUUCCUCAUCCUCUCAUUGAUGGUUUGUUUGAUCAACUUCAGGUUUCUUUAGUGUUUUUUGAUAUUGACUUGAGAUUUUGUUAUUAUCAGUUGCGGAUAAUAGAUUUGGAUGUUUCAAAUACAUCUUUGUAAAUGUGGUAUAUUCAUUAUGAGUUCUUGGUUAUAUCUUUUUGGUUGAAUAAUGCCUCAAUAGCAUUUAUUGAUUUAAUGAAUACUAUAUUCCAGCCUUAUUUUGAUUCCUUUGUGAUUUGAUUCUUCAUUGAUAUCUUUAUUAAUUCCAAGAUUGAGGUCAAGCUUGUGCGACAUUUAAGGACUGUACUUUAGGGAUUCAAAGAUGAGAAAUUGCUGCCAAGUUCUUUAAGUUCAUGGUUUGGUUUGAUUUUUUCUUUUUCUUAGGUCAUGCAAUGACUAAGAAUGGUAUUAUGGUUGAUCUGAUGAAGGUUAUGGCAAUUCAUAAUUGGGCUAAACCUAUGUCUCCUAUCAAGAUUUAGAGUUUUUUUUUUUGCUUAAUAGGCUAUUACCAUUGGUUUGUGUAGGGUUUCUCUUCUAUUACAGCAAUUUUAACUAUGUUUACUUAGAAAAAGGUUGUCUUUUAGUGGUCAGAUAAUUGUGAGAGUAACUUCCUAAGGCUUAAAGAGUUGUUGAGUUUGACUCAUAUCAUGACAUUUCCUAAGAAUUGUGUGGGUUUCACUAAGUUCUAUGUGCGUUUAGAGUUGAAUUAGGUGGUGUAUUUAUGCAUAAGGGUAAUUUGAUUACUUAUGCUUCUCAACAAUUAAAACCUUGUGAGAAGAACUACCAUACUCAUUAUUUUGAGUUAGCUGCAAUUCUGUGUGUUAAAAUUAUGAUGACACUAUUUGUAUGGAUUUCAUAGUGUGAUUUUCUCCAAUCAUCGUACCUUUAGUACUUAUUCACUUAUCUACAUUAUAAUAUGAGACAACAUUGUUAAGUUUUUAUGAUCUCACUGUUUCUUAUUGUUUAAGUAAGGCUAAUGUAGUAACGGAUACCUAGAGUUGGAAAGUGGUGAGCAUAGGGAGUUUGGCAUAUCUUUUGGCACAAGAGUGACCUUUAGCAUUAGACAUUCAGUCUUUGGCUAACCAGUUAUUUUGGCAUGAUAAUUUGACAGAUGGACAUAUUUUCGCCUCUUAGAGGCUAAAUCUUCAUUGACGGAGAAAAUUCAGGAUUGACAAUUUAAUGAUGAGAAGUUGAAAGUGAUUCAUGAUAAAGUGUUAAGUGGUGAGAAAAAGAUUGUAUCUCUUGAUCCAAAGGGUGUUUUGAGGACUAAAGGUAGUGUUUAUAUGCCAAAAGUUGGUGGUUGGAUUAGACAGAUCUAGGAUAACUCUCACUAUUCAAAAUAUUCAAUUUAUCCAAGAACAAUUAAAAUAUACCAUGACUUAAAUGAAUAUUAUUGUUGGUGUGGGAUGAACAAAGACAUAAUAGAGUUUGUGGCCAAGUAUUUGAAUUGUCGACAAGUAAACUAUAAGCACCAGCGACCCGGUGGCACUAUGUAAACAAUGUCCAUUCCUAGGUGGAAGUGGGAGUAUAUCACUAUAGAUUUUGUAGUUAUCUGACCCUCGACUCUGGGAAAGUUUGAUUCUUUUGGGUGAUUAUGUAUAGGUUGACAAAAUCAGUAUACUUCAUACCUGUGAAGGUAAAUUGAAUGCAGAAAAGUUGGUUAAUAUCUACAUUUGAGAUAUUAUUUGAUUAUGUGGUGUACCUAUCUCUGUUAUUUCUGAUAGGGGUACAUACUUUACCUCUAAUUUUUGGAGUUUUGUACAGAAUAGGUUGGGUACUCAUCUUAAAAUAAGCAUAGCCUUUUGUGCUCAGACGGAUGGUGAGUUAGAGUGGACCAUUUAGGUGUUAGAGGACAUACUUCAAGUGUGUGUUAUGGAUUAAAGUGGUCAUUAGAACUAGUUCUCAUUCUUCUAGAGUUUACCUACAAUAACAAUAAACAUUCCAACAUUCAUAUGGCACCUUUUAAGGCUUUGUAUGGGCUGAGGUGCAGAUCCCCCAUGGGAUGGUUUGAUUUACAUGAGGUUAUGCCUUAGGUCACUGAUCUGUUGAGAGACUCGAUGGUUCAAGUGAGAUUGAUCUAGUGGAUAUUUGUGGUUGCCCAGAGUAGGAAGGAGAGUUACCCUGACCAUUGAGUUUGUUAUAUCAUAUUCAUGCUUGGAGAAGAGGUUUUUUUGAAUGUAUCACCCAUGAAAUGUGUGAUAAAAAUUGGUCAGAGAAAAAUGCUUAGCAUAAGAUUUAUUGGGUUUUUGAUAUUCUUGAUAAGUUUAGAAAUAUAGCAUAUAGGCUAGUUUUUACUCCACAUAUACUAAUUGUUCACUUGGUAUUUUAUGUUUCUAAAUUGAAGAGAUACCAUCUAGAUGAUUCACAUAUGAUCCAGUGGGAUUCUGUUGCAUUAGAACAUGAUUUGUCCUACUAAGAGGGGCCCGUUGUUAUCCUAGAUAUACAGACUAUGAAGUUUAGAUCUAAAAAUGUUGAUUUUGUGAAAGUUAAGUGAAAACUUAGCCCUAUUGAGGAGGAUAUAUGGGAGGUAGAGUCUGAUAUGCAAAGUAGAUACCCCCAACUUUUACCAACUCGGGUACUUAAUUUAUUUUUUAUUCAAGGAUGAACUAGUGUUUUAGUUAUGGAUAGUGUAACAACCCUUGUUAUGAUUGUUAUAUGCCUUAUAUGAGUAGUAGGGAUGGUUGGCAUGGUUCCAAAGCAUUCGGAAGUGAUUUGAGUGAGUUUGUGAUUUUGAGUAGCCUUGAAAGUGAUUAGUUUGACUUGGUAAAUAUUUUGUGAUCAAGUGACGAAUGGUGACUCUAUCAGUUCAAUUAAAUUCAAAAUAUAUAUUUUAGGUUAGUAGCAUGGUUGGUUUGAGUUUGGAGCCUUUAUAGUUUUGACCUCAUAAAUGAGAAACUACUUAAAAUAUCCCAAAAGGGUUUCCAAGGGUUAAAUAGUUGAUAACGACCUCUUUUGCUAAAUUUGAUGGUUCUAUUGAGUUUGGAAUAUAAAAAUUAACCUAGUAGAAUUAUUAGAUUAUUUUAACGAGCUCUUGAUCGAAUUCUAAGGGCCCAUUUAGAGUCAUAUUGAGUUCCCUAUUAUUCAGUCUAGUCUGAUUUCUGGUGCAACUGCCUAAGUGACUAUUCGGUCACCUUAUAGGUAGCACCUAGGCAAAUCUUGGGAACCUUAGCGAUUGGUCGACUGACCCAACAAUAUUUUCUUAGUAAUGAGGUUAUCGCCUUAGCAGUACCACCUUAGUGGUCAAAAGGCCGCCUAAGCGAUUGUCUUUAUGGCAAGUAACUACCGCCUAAGCGGUAGCCUGGCCAACUUGGCAAUGUCACUUAGGCAAUUAUUUAACCACCAAGGUAUUUUUAGCCCAAACUACAACUCACCAUAAAGUAUAAAGCGGUCACUAAAUAAAAUCCAAAGUCCAACCAAGGUUGGGUUUGAUCCCACGGGGAAUAGGAUAGAAGCAUAGUCAAUCUGGUUAUCUAAGUUAUUAGUAAAUUAUUUUUGUAAAUAGAGGGGUUCUGAAAGUAGCCUUGGAAAAUAGUUUGUGAGAAAGUAACAAUUAUUGAAUUUCUUUGGAUUUUUAUCAAUAAUAGAGACACACUAGGACUAUUCCCAUGACUUCAAAACUCCAUAGGUUCUUUAUAAUGGUGAUCUCUCCCAGUGAUUAGCAUGAGAAUCGAUAAGUUAAGUUCAUAAAAAUAAAUAUCUAGCCUGUAUUAGAUGACUAUCCCCGAUCACUCAUCCAAGUCUCAUGAGUUUUACACUCUAACCUUAUCAUAGAUCCCGAACUAGUUAUCUCACAUCCAUAACUCAAGCUAUUAAGUGAUGGUUGAUAGCUCUAAGUUUCCAUUAUUUGUUCUCUUUUUCCAUCUGUUACACUUUUAGCUAAAUCCAAAAAGAAUAAGGAAAUUUUUAAAGUUUGCAACUAUUAGAAAGCAAUCAAAGUAAAAAUAACAACAAUACAUGUAUAAACACCAAUUAAGAAUCAUUCUGUACUUCAAAUCCUACUUCAUUAUUCUAUCAUGAUUCUCACAAUCCUAUUUGUAGAGUUUAGCUACUCAUAAUUACAAGAACAUAGUGAUAACUCUAGGUAGAAAACAUAAUUAUGCACUUACAAGAAGAAAAAUAAAAUGACAAAUCUUAACUAUUAAUGAAAUUCUCAAAGAAUGUGUUUACAAUACUUAAGAACAAGUAUAUGGACUCAAAAAAUGUAAGAGUACAUUCUCUCAAACAUAAAACCUAAUAGGAGUAUUUAUAGAUUCAAAAGGAAUCCUAUCCUAAAUUGUCUAGGAAAAUAAAUUUGGUAGGUUUCCACUACUCGUGAACCAGUUCACCAUUCAUGAAUCAACUCAUGGAAAUGAGACUCCUCUUGCACAUCUUCAGCAUCUCUUCCAUGGAUCCAUUCCACCAUUGGUAGACCAUUUCAAUGAUUCAUGGACUCAAUUGGUGGAUGUAACGUAUUUUUUACUUCUUCAGACUUUGUUCAUGUUCUUGUUCUAUGGCCUGUGGAAGGUUCCACGACUCAUGGGUGCUAUCCAUGAGUCUUAUCUUGGUCAAUUUUGAGUCUUUUUCCUUGGUUUUGCUCCUAAUCCUAUUUUCUUAAAAAAUACUGCACAAAAAAACAAUAUACACAAAUGCACUCCUAAUUCUUUGCAUACAUUCCGCAUUUUAAGCAUCACAAGUGUCGUAAAACCCAACACAUCACUUGGCGAUGUUGCCAGAAUAAAAUAUUUUUUUCUUAACUUUACUUCAUUCUUUUAGUUUAGUUUUGGCGAUUUCAAAGAUGUUUUUUCAUAAAACUGGACUUGAGUGAGAUUCUAAACAUGAUUUUCAUUCUUAUUCAUUCAUAUUUCACUAAAUUAUCUUCAAAACUUGGAUUUUAAACUUGAAUAUUUUGGAUUUCACCCGAUAAAGAGUGAAAGUGGUUUUUCUUCAAUUUUGACUUUUACUUCUACUUAUUUUUUUUCUAGGUCUUCAUAUUUAGAAUUUUUAGAAUAUGUAAAACAUGAUUUUUAAAUAAAAUUUUGGAUUUACUAUUUUUUCUUUGGGGUCAAUUUUUGAACUAUUUUGGGCCCAAAACGAAAGUAGCUAAGAGUAUUGCUGGACUCUUAUUAAAGUGAAGAUUAUGUUUUUGAAAUAUUUGGUUUAUUUUGAGUAUUCACAAAGAAGAAAGUGAUUUUAGAUGGAUUUAUGCACCUAAGCAUCAUUAUCUGUGCUUGUUUAGAUUUGUUUUGAGGAUUUCUUAUGUACUUAUUGGGUGAGUCCUUAUAUAAAUAAGCAUCCAAGUGUUUUGUUAUAUGUUUUUAGUGUUUAAUGUUUGUUCAUAAUGAGUUUGGAGUCAAAACAUUAAGUUAAAGAUCAAAUGUGAAAGCUAGUACUCUUAGCUUGAGCUAUGUUCAAUUCUAGUUCAUCGUGUUGAAUUCUAUGUGGUUUCGAGCUGUAAUUUGUAGUAUUUGAUGUUAUAGGAUGCUUGAUAGAUUUUAUGAAGAUGAUAAAUGGAUGAUAAAAAAAGCUAUAAAAUAUGAGGAAAAGUCACCACAAAGAAUGUACUUGAAGGACAAAUGCAUAGGACACGGCAUGACCAAAUCUGGAAUUUUGGGAAUCAUUGUCAUGCAACGGACCCUAUUCAUCGCGAUAAGGGCGUGGAACUCCAUUGGAUGCAUUUUCAAAUGGCACAAAAAAAAUUUUCUCCUAGAUAUUGGUGUUCCAUAUCCCCUGAUCCAUGCGAUAAGUCUGUAGCAUGCGAUAAGGCCAUGGCACGGAGACUAUGUUUAAUUCGGCCAUUUUGGUCCUGUUAUAAAUAGGACACUUAAACAUUAUUUUACAUGCCUUGUAAAACCUUAGAGAUUGAAAAAACGACUGUGAAGGAUGAAAAUAGGGUUCUUAUUCCUUUAAUUUAGUUUCUUUAUAGAUAAUAAUACGGAUUCAUCUAUUAUGAUUACGUGUAUGUCCAUG
rnacentral:lncRNA from 1 species